AUUUUUGUUAAUAGGGCACCAGGAUUCAAGCAUCAUUUCCAGGGUAUUCAUGCCAGAGUAUUACUGCUAAACUAAGUGAAGGAAGGAUAUUUUGCAUAUGGGAUUUUCUUGUGAGACCAAACAAUCUCAAGAACAAGACCACCAUUCACCAAUUUAGGCUCACCAUGGUUGCCAAAACGGAAAUAUCUGAAGUCACAGAUUCUAAAUUCCUGUAUUCUAGGUUUGCAUUUAAGAAUUUUGAUGAGAUAGCAAGGCAUGACAGAGCUACUGAAGAAACAUUUUUUGAUGUAAUAGGAGUGAUUGUUGCACCUGAGAGAGUUCUAUGUCAGCCUAAAUGUAGACUUAUUGAGAUUGAAAUUGCAGAUGAGAAUCAUAACAUGAUCUUUUGCACAAUUUAGGAUGCAAACGUUGAUUCUUAUCUUCAACAGUUGGAGAAAAGUAAAGGAACUUUGCCUAUUAUAAUUGUUCAAUUUUGUCGGCCAAAUAUGUUUAAAGGUGAGAUACGUGUCUCUACACAUUUUAAUUCCUCCCAAGUUUUUAUCAAUGCUGAUAUAAGUGAGGUUAAGCAAUUUAGAAGCAGGAUAUAUGGGGAUCCAACUUUCAUGAGUAUGGUGUCAUUAAGUGAAGUUGGAAAGAAGAUAAAUAGUGAGUUUGAUGACCUACAACUGAAGAGUCUGGAGGAUGUCUUGUGUAUUGAGAGUGGUUCAUAUUGGGUGUUUGGAAGGGUUAUUUCUGUGAAAUGUCACUAUGGUCAAUAGUGUUGUGAAAAUCGCACUCGGGGCGCGGGGCGAUCAAAGCGAGACUGUAAUCGCUCCGAUACGGCGGGGUCGUGUGAGAUCCGUGGAGCGACGGUGGGGCGCGCCUGGGUCGUCUGGGUCGCCGUGGAGCGAGCCGAUUUAGGUUACAUAUUGAUGACUGUUCAUCUUAUUCCUUGAAUAAAUAAAAAAACGGUAACUUACCAACUUCCCAUACUCUUAUUUAUGGAAUACCUACACCUACCUUUCUCUUCAACCGCCUUCUCCUCUCCUCUUUCUUCUUCUUUUUUCUUCUCCUUUCUUCUUCAUCAGCCACCACUCCUUCGACGUGGGUCUUCUUCAGCAAAAGCAAAAAUCACUUUAUUCUCCAGCCACCACUCCUUCGACGUCCAGAUUCUCAAGGUUUAUCUACAGAUUUAUUUGAUGUGAUAUACAUUCAAGCAACAAACUUAUAAAAGAGACACAAAUAUAAUCAUCAUUCGGCUAUUCUGGCGCCCCGAUUCGUGGGUCUCUCGCCCCGUCGUCCCAUCGCCCCGCGACCCGGGGUCCCCCUCAUCGCCCCGGGGCGCCCCGCGACCCUAACAACACUGAUGGUCAAUGGUUUUAUGAGUCCUGCAAGAUUUGUGUGAAGAAGCUUGAACAAGUUGCCCCUAUGAAGUAUUAUUGUGUGCGUUGUAAGAAGACUUUUGGUUAUGCCAAAAGGAGGUAAAGAUUUGUUCUAAAUAUUGUGGAUGACGCUAGCAAUGUUUCACUUCUGCUUUGGGAUAGAGAGGCUAUUCAACUAUUGGAUUUGAAAGUUGAUGACAUUGUUGAUGCAGAUGAGAUUUUCCAUUCCUAGGAGGAUAGAGGACAAGCUUUGUGGACAUAAUUUUCUGUUUAAAGUCCAGUUGAAGGAUCAUUUUGAUUAUCCAGUUAGCCAUCCAUUUACUGUGAAUAAAGUCCGUAAAACUCCUGAAAUUGUUGAAAAAUAUAUCUAUGAAGGUUUUGUUUCAGAACCUAUUAGUUCUCAGGUGAAGCUGUAUGAUCUAUUGUUUGGAGAUGAUCUUGCUGAGGUCUCUCAAAAAAGCUUUCAUACACCAGACUUAUCCAGUGUAGAGGAUGGCAAUAAUUCUGAAUGGACUGUGAAAGACACUGUGAAGAGAUGUUUGGAUCUGGAGUUUGAUGCAUGUGAAGAUAACACUGAUUGUGAGUGUCUUAAAAGGAAGAAAGUGAAUGGUGCCAAAUAGAUCCUUAUAGAGAUAUUUGGCUUGUGUUUUGAAGUUAUGGACAAUGUUUUAGUUUUGUUUUUGUGAUCAGCUAUUUAGCUUAUGAUUGAGCAGCUUUUAAGCUUAUGACUUAUGAUUUAAUGUUAUGUUUUA